GACGAACGCUGGCGGCGUGCCUAAUACAUGCAAGUUGAGCGCUGAAGGUUGGUACUUGUAUCAACUGGAUGAGCAGCGAACGGGUGAGUAACGCGUGGGGAAUCUGCCUUUGAGCGGGGGACAACAUUUGGAAACGAAUGCUAAUACCGCAUAAAAACUUUAAACACAAGUUUUAAGUUUGAAAGAUGCAAUUGCAUCACUCAAAGAUGAUCCCGCGUUGUAUUAGCUAGUUGGUGAGGUAAAGGCUCACCAAGGCGAUGAUACAUAGCCGACCUGAGAGGGGGAUCGGCCACAUUGGGACUGAGACACGGCCCAAACUCCUACGGGAGGCAGCAGUAGGGAAUCUUCGGCAAUGGAAGAAAGUCUGACCGAGCAACGCCGCGUGAGUGAAGAAGGUUUUCGGAUCGUAAAACUCUGUUGGUAGAGAAGAACGUUGGUGAGAGUGGAAAGCUCAUCAAGUGACGGUAACUACCCAGAAAGGGACGGCUAACUACGUG
rnacentral:rRNA from 1 species